rnacentral:rRNA from 1 species
UACGUAGGUGGCAAGCGUUGUCCGGAAUUAUUGGGCGUAAAGCGCGCGCAGGCGGUCCUUUAAGUCUGAUGUGAAAUCCCGUGGCUUAACCACGGGCGGUCAUUGGAAACUGGGGGACUUGAGUGCGGAAGAGAAGAGCGGAAUUCCACGUGUAGCGGUGAAAUGCGUAGAGACGUGGAGGAACACCAGUGGCGAAGGCGGCUCUUUGGUCUGUAACUGACGCUGAGGCGCGAAAGCGUGGGGAGCGAACAGG